AGACGAUGAGGUUAAUAGGUUUGAGGUGGAAGCGUGGCGACACGUGGAGCUGACAAAUACUAAUCGAUCGAGGACUUAACUAA
rnacentral:ncRNA from 1 species